AAAAAAGUCGUAAUUUAAUAGGAAUAAAGUCAUACUAUUUCAAGAAAAAAAAGUCGUAAUAUUACGAGAAUAAAGUCAUAACUUUAUGAGAAAAAAGUAAUUUCCUCCUCCACAAAAGAGGCAAUUUCCCCCAAGUCUGUGUGGUACUUCUCAAGGUCCUGAUACUUCAUCAAUGUUCACGAAUCAAAUAGACUGAAUUGACUUGUAAAAUUAUCUUUUAAAUUGACAAACAUCAUGUGUGUGAUUCAUGGAGCAAUUCAAACGUGAUAAAAAAAAUGUUUGUCUCUUGCCGUUUACUACCGUUCAUAUUUUUUCUGAAAUAAAUUCCCCUGGUGGUCCACCAGAAGGGGCGGGACUUUGCCUCUCUAUAACAUGGCAGAGAUUCUGAUGUCAUUUCCACCACACAGGUCUCAAGUGUUGGCUCAUUGUAUUUUCAUUCAUUUCACUUCCUCUUGCUAAAUCAAAAUGACUCCAGGCUUCACGACCUUGACUUUCUUUAUGCUUUGGGCUGCAGAUGUUUCUCAGUCUGUGCUGAUCACUCAGUGGCCCCUCUACAUCUCCAGUCCUCCCAGUGGCUCAGCAGAGAUGCACUGCUACCAGAAUGACACCAAUUAUGAAUAUCUGUACUGGUAUCGACAGCUGAAAGGAGAAGGAUUUCAGCUUAUGGUGUAUAUCCUUGGCACCCCAACCUAUGAAGAAGGGUUCAAAUCUGGUUUUCAGGCUGUGAAAUCGAAGGAGAAGCAGUGGUCUCUGACGAUAACCAGCGUUCAGAAGAAAGACGAGGCUGUUUAUCUGUGUGCUGCUAGUCUACACGGUGCUGUGGCAGACCUCAUGUCUGUGACAAAAACAUACAACAGACUCACAUUCAUAAUCAUCAAAUGAGGGAAGGAACUCAACCACACUGUGGAGAUCAUAUCAGUGACUUUAGUACACACCAGUGCUCUAAAAUAGCUUUCUAUAUUAUCAUUAAUGAUCAUCAUUAAUCAUUUAAAGUAACCUUUAACAUAAAUUGAAACAUCAAAAGUGGUUUAUUUUUGUUCAUAAAUUUAUAAUUUAUCCAAAACUUUGUUUUUUCAAUUUAAAAAAGUUAUUUUAUCAUUGUUUUUUUAAUUUAUGAUUUCCAUGAUUGUUUUAUUUUUGAUGUUAACAAUGCAGCUAAGUUAAAUUAAAAAUAAUUUUUACUUGAAAAAUUAGCAUUUGGUCAAAAAACAAGAUUUUGCAUAGGGCCCCCAAAAAGUGAGAACCGUCCUGCUAGCUAGUUGGAGGAGCUGCUGACAGUGUUUGUUACUGUUUAUGUUGUCAAGCAGGGUUAAUAAUAACUGUGUGGUACACAAAAUGUGCAGUCAUUUUCAUCGCUGUUCAUUCUAAUAUAAGGAGUAUUUUUCUUUCAACUCUUGUCCAAAAAUCAUCCCAAAAUUAAUUUUCAUCCUCCCCGCCCUGGUAUACUUGUUGUUUCACUUAUAUUAAUGGAAGAGAGGAAGAUAGAAAGAAAGGGUGUAAUAAAUAAACUGCUCUCUAAAAUGAAAAAUUAUACAAUUAAUUUGUUUCAAAAACAACUUGUGUUUGUGUUUUCCUGACAAGCGAACACCUGCAGUCGUGCAAAUUGUCCUGAAUAGAUUCAACCAAUAGGUGGAGGCACAGCACCUGGCAAGAAACUGUUAACAAGAUAAUAUGGUGAUGAACAGACACAAUGCCUUCCCUCUCUGCACACACUGAGUCUUAUUUUUCUCAGAGCAAACAACAUUAGU